UUUUGGUCCCGAAGAGUAUAACUACUCACAGGAAUAGAAGGGCGCUUUUAUUUGGAGAUGGAUGCACUACUAUUCCCAAGGGAAUGAGGAAAUUAUCGACCGUAGUACAGAGGGGACCAAAUGUUGUACACCGGACUGGAAGGAGUGUAAGUGAACUGCUGUUUCAUCUGGAAGGAGUGUUGGAUCCCUGGAUGGUGAGAAUGGAAGAGGUAAAAGACCAAGUGUUGCACCUCCUGCGAUUGCAUGGGAAA